AUAAAUCAAGGAAAAAUGUUAAAAUCAACAAGUGUGGAGAAAUAAAAAUAUAAAAAGGAUUAAAAAUAAAAUAUCAUAAAAAAAUGAAAUAAGUAUAGUAUAAAACUCAUUAAAAGAUAAAAAAAAUGAGAAAAAAACAAAUAAAAUCUAGGAAAUGUAUGCACCAAGAAUCAAACACAUCGCCAACGAGAAUAAAAAGUGC
rnacentral:lncRNA from 1 species